rnacentral:lncRNA from 1 species
UAGCUCUCAGAAGUUUGGUUAUGAAUCAAUGUCUGUCUUUACAGGGAGGACAUUCUUUAUGUCAGAUCGGGACAGAGUACCAGAAGAGACAGAAGGAAAUAACAGAACAGAAAUAACAGAGAAGAGUUAUCGUGCAGAAUGUAAAAUAAAUAAUUCUAGAAAUGUUUCGGCCUGCUGCAUACUGAAGCCUUAGCUUUGAAAUCGAUACCCAUGCAUCUUUUAAAUGUUCUUAGGUCUGUAUUUCCAGAUGUUUGGACAGAUGCUACUGGCAAGGAACAUCUAAUUAUAUACCUGGAAAUCAGUACUGCUGAUUUAUACUAAUACAGAGAAGAUUAAUGUAAUGUCCUGGUUAGAUGGAG